CGGACGGGUGAGUAACGCGUGAGGAACCUGCCUCGGAGUGGGGAAUAACAUACCGAAAGGUGUGCUAAUACCGCAUAAUGCAGUUGGGUCGCAUGACUCUGACUGCCAAAGAUUUAUCGCUCUGAGAUGGCCUCGCGUCUGAUUAGCUAGUUGGCGGGGUAACGGCCCACCAAGGCGACGAUCAGUAGCCGGACUGAGAGGUUGACCGGCCACAUUGGGACUGAGACACGGCCCAGACUCCUACGGGAGGCAGCAGUGGGGAAUAUUGGGCAAUGGGCGCAAGCCUGACCCAGCAACGCCGCGUGAAGGAAGAAGGCUUUCGGGUUGUAAACUUCUUUUGUCAGGGACGAAACAAAUGACGGUACCUGACGAAUAAGCCACGGCUAACUACGUGCCAGCAGCCGCGGUAAUACGUAGGUGGCAAGCGUUAUCCGGAUUUACUGGGUGUAAAGGGCGUGUAGGCGGGACUGCAAGUCAGGUGUGAAAACCAGGGGCUCAACCUCUGGCCUGCAUUUGAAACUGUAGUUCUUGAGUGCUGGAGAGGCAAUCGGAAUUCCGUGUGUAGCGGUGAAAUGCGU
rnacentral:rRNA from 1 species